rnacentral:rRNA from 1 species
CUACGGGGUGCAGCAGUAAGGAAUAUUGCGCAAUGGAGGCAACUCUGACGCAGCCAUGCCGCGUGCAGGACUGAAGGCCUUAUGGGUCGUAAACUGCUUUUAUUUAGGAAUAAACUCUUGUACGUGUACGAGACUGAAGGUACUAAAUGAAUAAGCACCGGCUAACUCCGUGCCAGCAACCGCGGUAAUACGGAGGGUGCAAGCGUUAUCCGGAUUUAUUGGGUUUAAAGGGUGCGCAGGCGGACUAUUAAGUCAGAGGUGAAAUCCCGGAGCUCAACUUCGGAACUGCCUUUGAUACUGGUAGUCUUGAAUACGGUUGAAGUAGGCGGAAUGUAGCAUGUAGCGGUGAAAUGCAUAGAGAUGCUACAGAACACCGGUCGCGAAGGCAGCUUACUAAGCCGAUAUUGACGCUCAGGCACGAAAGCGUGGGGAGCGAACAGGAUUAGAUACCCGCGUAGUC